rnacentral:pre_miRNA from 1 species
UUCACCCGGGGAUCUUGUUAGAAUGCAGAUUCUGAUUCAGGAGGUCGGGGGACGGGGGGCACGGGGGACGGCUGGGAGUCUGCACUUCUAACAAGCUCCCAGGUGGUGCCCA